rnacentral:rRNA from 1 species
AACGAACGCUGGCGGCAUGCCUAACACAUGCAAGUCGAACGAGACCUUCGGGUCUAGUGGCGCACGGGUGCGUAACGCGUGGGAACCUGCCCUUAGGUUCGGAAUAACUCCCCGAAAGGGGUGCUAAUACCGGAUAAUGUCUUCGGACCAAAGAUUUAUCGCCUUUGGAUGGGCCCGCGUUGGAUUAGCUAGUUGGUAGGGUAAAAGCCUACCAAGGCGACGAUCCAUAGCUGGUCUGAGAGGAAGAUCAGUCACACUGGGACUGAGACACGGCCCAGACUCCUACGGGAGGCAGCAGUGGGGAAUAUUGGACAAUGGGCGAAAGCCUGAUCCAGCAAUGCCGCGUGAGUGAUGAAGGCCUUAGGGUUGUAAAGCUCUUUUACCCGGGAUGAUAAUGACAGUACCGGGAGAAUAAGCGCCGGCUAACUCCGUG